CCAGCAAACACUUGACUGAGUCAGGUUAAGGUCUAGCAGUGAAAGCUUUGGUAAAGAAUGACUUCCCUGGAACGUUACAGCCAGAUAAGGCAGGCGCUCUCAGAUAUUCUUUGGUUU
rnacentral:miRNA from 1 species